AUUGAACGCUGGCGGCAGGCCUAACACAUGCAAGUCGAACGAGUGGCGGACGGGCGAGUAAUGUCUGGGAAACUGCCUGAUGGAGGGGGAUAACUACUGGAAACGGUAGCUAAUACCGCAUACCAUCGGAUGUGCCCCGAUGGGAUUAGGUUGUAGGUGGGGUAAAGGCUCACCCAGGCGACGAUCCCUAGCUGGUCUGAGAGGAUGACCAGCCACACGGGAACUGGUACACGGUCCAGACUCCUACGGAGGGCAGCAGUGGGGAAUAUUGCACAAUGGGCGCAAGCCUGAUGCAGCCAUGCCGCGUGUAUGAAGAAGGCCUUCGGGUUGUAAAGUACUUUCAGCGGGGAGGCGUUACCCGCAGAAGAAGCACCGGCUAACUCCGUGCCAGCAGCCGCGGUAAUAC
rnacentral:rRNA from 1 species